UACGUAGGGGGCAAGCGUUGUCCGGAUUUAUUGGGCGUAAAGAGCGUGUAGGCGGUUUGGUAGGUCCGCUGUGAAAACUCGAGGCUCAACCUCGAGACGCCGGUGGAAACCAUCAGGCUAGAGUCCGGAAGAGGAGAGUGGAAUUCCUGGUGUAGCGGUGAAAUGCGCAGAUAUCAGGAAGAACACCAAUGGCGAAGGCAGCUCUCUGGGACGGUACUGACGCUGAGGAGCGAAAGCGUGGGGAGCAAACAGG
rnacentral:rRNA from 1 species